rnacentral:rRNA from 1 species
AUUCCCCUAGUAACGGCGAGUGAAGUGGGAAAAGCUCAACUUUGAAAUCUGGCUGCUUUGCAGUCCGAGUUGUAGUCUCGAGAAGUGUUUUCCGCGUUAAACCGUGUAUGAGUCUGUUGGAAUACAGCGUCAUAGAGGGUGAGAACCCCGUUCAUGACACGGCUUUUAAUGCUUUGUGAUACAUUUUCGAUGAGUCGAGUUGUUUGGGAAUGCAGCUCAAAUUGGGUGGUAAAUUCCAUCUAAAGCUAAAUAUUGGCGGGAGACCGAUAGCAAACAAGUACCGUGAGGGAAAGAUGAAAAGCACUUUGGAAAGAGAGUUAAAAGUACGUGAAAUUGUCGAAAGGGAAACGCUUGAAGUCAGACGUGCACGGGAUUCAUUCCCAUUGCAGGCCAACAUCGGUUUUGCGAGCCGGAUAAAGGUAGAAGGAAGGUGGCAGUCUCGGCUGUGUUAUAGCCUUCUACUGAAUACGGAUUGCGAGACCGAGGGACGCAGCGCGCCGCAAGGCAGAGGGUUCGCCCUUUUCGCGCUUAGGAUGUUGGUGAAAUGGCUUUAAACGACCCGUCUUGAAACACGGACCAAGGAGUCUAACAUGCUUGCGAGUAUUUGGGUGUCAAACCCACAUGCGCAAUGAAAGUGAAUGGAGGUGGGAUCCUUUACGGGAGCACCAUCGACCGGCCUGGAAGUUUACUGAAAGGUCUGAGUAAGAGCACGUAUGUUGGGACCCGAAAGAUGGUGAACUAUGCCUGAAUAGGGUGAAGCCAGAGGAAACUCUGGUGGAGGCUCGUAGCGGUUCUGACGUGCAAAUCGAUCGUCAAAUUUAGGUAUAGGGGCGAAAGACUAAUCGAACCAUCUAGUAGCUGGUUCCUGCCGAAG